rnacentral:rRNA from 1 species
AUAGAACGCUGGCGGCAUGCCUUACACAUGCAAGUCGAACGGCAGCAUGGAGAGCUUGCUCUCUGAUGGCGAGUGGCGAACGGGUGAGUAAUGCAUCAGAACGUACCGUGUAAUGGGGGAUAACGUAGCGAAAGUUACGCUAAUACCGCAUACGACCUGAGGGUGAAAGCAGGGGAUCGCAAGACCUUGCGUUAUACGAGCGGCCGAUGUCAGAUUAGCUAGUUGGUGAGGUAAAGGCUCACCAAGGCGACGAUCUGUAGCGGGUCUGAGAGGAUGAUCCGCCACACUGGGACUGAGACACGGCCCAGACUCCUACGGGAGGCAGCAGUGGGGAAUUUUGGACAAUGGGGGCAACCCUGAUCCAGCCAUGCCGCGUGAGUGAAGAAGGCCUUCGGGUUGUAAAGCUCUUUCGGCCGGGAAGAAAUCGCACAGGCUAAUACUCUGUGUGGAUGACGGUACCGGCAUAAGAAGCACCGGCUAACUACGUGCCAGCAGCCGCGGUAA